GACGAACGCUGGCGGCGUGCUUAACACAUGCAAGUCGAGCGAUGAAGCUUCCUUCGGGAAGUGGAUUAGCGGCGGACGGGUGAGUAACACGUGGGCAACCUGCCUCAAAGAGGGGAAUAGCCCUCCGAAAGGAGGAUUAAUACCGCAUAAAGUUAGAGUUUCGCAUGAAACUUUAACCAAAGGAGUAAUCUGCUUUGAGAUGGGCCCGCGUCCCAUUAGCUAGUUGGUAAGGUAAUGGCUUACCAAGGCAACGAUGGGUAGCCGACCUGAGAGGGUGAUCGGCCACAUUGGAACUGAGACACGGUCCAGACUCCUACGGGAGGCAGCAGUGGGGAAUAUUGCGCAAUGGGGGAAACCCUGACGCAGCAACGCCGCGUGGGUGAUGAAGGUUUUCGGAUCGUAAAACCCUGUUUUCUGGGACGAUAAUGACGGUACCAGAUGAGAAAGCCACGGCUAACUACGUGCCAGCAGCCGCGGUAAUACGUAGGUGGCAAGCGUUGUCCGGAUUUACUGGGCGUAAAGGGUGCGUAGGCGGAUGCUUAAGUGAGAUGUGAAAUACCUAGGCUUAACUUAGGGGCUGCAUUUCAAACUGGGCAUCUAGAGUACAGGAGAGGGAAACGGAAUUCCUAGUGUAGCGGUGAAAUGCGUAGAGAUUAGGAAGAACACCAGUGGCGAAGGCGGUUUCCUGGACUGUAACUGACGCUGAGGCACGAAAGCGUGGGUAGCAAACAGGAUUAGAUACCCUGGUAGUCCACGCCGUAAACGAUGAAUACUAGGUGUAGGAGGGUCCAACCUUCUGUGCCGCAGUUAACACAUUAAGUAUUCCGCCUGGGGAGUACGGUCGCAAGACUAA
rnacentral:rRNA from 1 species